GCCGCCCACCUCUGUUCCUCUUCCUCCUCCGUCUCGCCUUUGCCCCGACGCCGCCAGCGCGGCAGCGCCGCGCGCGCGUCCCCCGCUCCAUGCCAAAUCGGUGGAGGCACCACCCAGCUAGCACCUGCCCGCCUGAAUCGCCUCUUUUUGCUUUUCCCCUACUCCCUUGACCGCCCGCUCGCCCAGCGCCAAGCCGAAUCCUCCGCGCCGCGGCCAGAUGCGAGCCACGCGACCCGGGCGUCCGCGCCGAGGAUCCCCGCCAUCCUCUAGCCCCAGCUCGCUCCAUGCCCUAGCAGCCGCACCUAUAAAGCCCCUAGCUGCCGCUGGGAACCCUAGAGCCGGGGUCUCCUUUUCCCUUGCCGCCGCCAAAAGCAGAGCACGCAGAGAAGGGGAGCCAAGAGAGGAGAAGGGGAGAAGAAGGUGGAGGGGGAGUGGGAGCGCCGCCGGAGGAGCGCCUCCAGCAGCGCAACGCCGCUGCAGCACCGGGGAGAGGAAGCCGCCAAGGAGGAGGACGCUGCCGCCUGAGGACUUCACCACGCCGGCGCCCCGAUCGACGACAUCGACGUCGUUGCGCUGCCUGCACUGCUCCACCUCUCCACGGCCACGCCUCGUCACGGCGCCGCCCUCGUCGCCCCCAGCCUGAGCCGCCUGAUAGAUGCAGGAUCCGAGUAAAGGAGUCGUCGACAGGACGACAAAAGAAGAAGAUGUGAAGGAUGGCCCGAGCUACACUCCGAGCUGCCUGUGGAGAGGAUUCAUGAAUAUAAAGUUUGCCCAGAAGACUAGAUAUCGUUUCCGCUUACUAUUUGUUUUCUUUUAGCCCAAGGGGCUUGUACUCUGAGAUUCGUAUUACAAGACUUUGGAUUAUGUAAUAAAUAAACCCAUGUGAUGUUGUAAACGUGAGUUAUGUCUGUGAUA